rnacentral:rRNA from 1 species
AACGAACGCUGGCGGCAGGCUCAACACAUGCAAGUCGAACGGACGUAGCAAUACGUUAGUGGCAGACGGGUGAGGAACACGUGGGAACAUCCCUUUCAGUUCGGAAUAACUCAGGGAAACUUGAGCUAAUACCGGAUACGUCCUUCGGGAGAAAGAUUUAUCGCUGAAAGAUUGGCCCGCGUCUGAUUAGCUAGUUGGUGAGGUAACGGCUCACCAAGGCUACGAUCAGUAGCUGAUCUGAGAGGAUGAUCAGCCACAUUGGGACUGAGACACGGCCCAAACUCCUACGGGAGGCAGCAGUGGGGAAUAUUGGACAAUGGGCGCAAGCCCGAUCCAGCCAUGCCGCGUGAGUGAUGAAGGCCUUCGGGUUGUAAAGCUCUUUUGUCCGGGAAGAUAAUGACUGUACCGGAAGAAUAAGCCCCGGCAAACUUCGUGCCAGCCGCCCGGUAA